rnacentral:rRNA from 1 species
UACGUAGGGGGCGAGCGUUAUCCGGAAUUACUGGGCGUAAAGCGCGCGCAGGCGGUUCGCCAAGUUUGGAGUGACAGUUGUCGGCUCAACCGACAAAGGACUUCAAAAACUGGUGAACUUGAGGACGAGAGAGGAACAUGGAACUCCAGGUGUAGUAGUGAAAUGCGUAGAUAUCUGGAAGAACACCAAUGGCGAAGGCAAUGUUCUGGCUCGUUUCUGACGCUCAGGUGCGAAAGCCAGGGGAGCGAACGGG